UACGUAGGGUGCGAGCGUUAAUCGGAAUUACUGGGCGUAAAGGGCUCGUAGGCGGCCAACUAAGUCAGACGUGAAAUCCCUCGGCUUAACCGGGGAACUGCGUCUGAUACUGGAUGGCUUGAGGUUGGGAGAGGGAUGCGGAAUUCCAGGUGUAGCGGUGAAAUGCGUAGAUAUCUGGAGGAACACCGGUGGCGAAGGCGGCAUCCUGGACCAAUUCUGACGCUGAGGAGCGAAAGCGUGGGGAGCGAACAGG
rnacentral:rRNA from 1 species